GUUAUUUAAUCGAGAGGUUGCAGUUGUUACGCUUGGUUGAGUGUCUCUGACCCCAAGCGAAGUAGCCUUAUCUCUACUCGAUUUACUUUUAUGUCGAAUAGUUAAAAUAGUUUUACACAAACAAACUUUUAUACCCAAACACUUAAUAUGAUAAAUGAUGUUGAAAUGCUUAAGAUAUACGCAACUUCCAGCGGAAUCGAUCUUAUUAUACUCACAUGUAAAUAGUUUAUGACAUGUAAAAAUCUUACAUCAGUGACCACACAUACACUCACAUGGGAAGCGAAAAGUGUUGAAAUCUGGGACCAACACCAACAUAAAACGCCAUCACAGCCAACCACUAGGUUGUAACAACAGGGAAGAUGCGGUUACAAAUUUAAACUGUCAAAAGAGUAAUUUUGCACCCUAGAAAUAGGAUUGUGGUGGGAGAAAGUGUGUCUAGCCAUCAAAUGAUCGUUGAACCAUAGUCACACGUUCACAAUUUGCUUUGGUACGUGGUACACGUUUGGGUCCACGGUUCGUAAUUUUCAAAUAAUUCGGUACGUAGAGGUAUGCAUAGUCGGAACCUUACAGGUUUGUGGUAUAGUUUUAAUUGAAUUAGAACAUGGACGUGAUUAGGAUAAUGAAAACAUAUUAUCAAAUAUUAUUAACAGAAGGUAUUUUGUAUGUCCC
rnacentral:lncRNA from 1 species